UGUAUGGAGUAUAUGCCAAACGGUGAGAGAGGAAGUCACAAGCAUACACAUCAAAGGUUCCUGAACGAUGAUAGGGUGUGUGAUGAAGAGCCUUUGGAUAAUGGGAAGAAUGUAUACUUAACUAACAUACAACAUCAACAAGUACGUAGAUGGGUUCUACACUGCUAUGUUGGAAUUUAUGAAUGAAACAGAAAGUAUGAAAUAUAUUUAGGACCGACCACAUCAAAGGGGCAAAGAAGAAAGGGCAGUGUGUCGAAGAACAUUGAACAUGAUUUCAUCAAUUGGUUACGAAAUGAGUUGGAGUUUGUUGAGGGCGAGUUGACAUUGAAACGAUUAGUAGAUGGCCUUACAUUUAAGGCAAAAUGCUAUAACAAGUAUCGCGUGAAUGGUUUUGUAUUCUCUCCAAGUAAAUAUGAGACUACUAAGUCAACAUAAAAUAGUGGGGUGUCUAUGAAAGCCAUCACUAAAUACUGGGCAAGUGCUAAA